rnacentral:lncRNA from 1 species
CUUUUAUCUUCUCGUCUUUAAACAGGAGACGAAUUCAAUUUGCAGGUUCCGUCUCAACGAAGUUCACAGAUGUCUGGCUGCACAAGUUGGUUCCAGUAUUUCUCAGACGGUGUUGAACAAUAAUAAUAAAAAUAGGAAGAUCAAAAGGGGGAAGAAUAGGAGAGACCUGCACCUGUACUGAUCAUCGCUACGCAGGUCUGGACGACUAUGGAUUCUGGAGAUUCUGCCUUUCCAAGCAAAAUACGAGAAGAUGUCUCCAAGCUGGGUACAGAGUGCGUAGCAACUUGUAGCAAGACGUGCGAAAGUAGAGCAGCGAGGGUCUUGUACAGCCAAGUCUGCUAAAUGGCUGGCGAUAGGCCUAG